rnacentral:rRNA from 1 species
AUUGAACGCUGGCGGCAGGCCUAACACAUGCAAGUCGAGCGGAUGAAGGGAGCUUGCUCCUGGAUUCAGCGGCGGACGGGUGAGUAAUGCCUAGGAAUCUGCCUGGUAGUGGGGGAUAACGUCCGGAAACGGGCGCUAAUACCGCAUACGUCCUGAUGGAGAAAGUGGGGGAUCUUCGGACCUCACGCUAUCAGAUGAGCCUAGGUCGGAUUAGCUAGUUGGUGGGGUAAAGGCCUACCAAGGCGACGAUCCGUAACUGGUCUGAGAGGAUGAUCAGUCACACUGGAAAUGAGACACGGUCCAGACUCCUAAGGGAGGCAGCAGUGGGGAAUAUUGGACAAUGGGCGAAAGCCUGAUCCAGCCAUGCCGCGUGUGUGAAGAAGGUCUUCGGAUUGUAAAGCACUUUAAGUUGGGAGGAAGGGCAGUAAGUUAAUACCUUGCUGUUUUGACGUUACCAACAGAAUAAGCACCGGCUAACUUCGUG